GUCCCAUCCACCCCGCGCUCCGGCCUCCUCCUCCUCCUCCCUCUCUCUCUCUGGAGCUUUCGUUCUCCGCCCGAGCCGCCUCCUCGCGUCUCCGCGGCUGUUUCCUUCCCCCGUGUCCAUCAUCAAUUCUCGGUUCCGUCUCGAAUCGCGUUUGAUUUUGCUAUAUCCUCGUCGCCUCUGCCUCCUCGCAGGGGGUUCGGCCGGCCCGUCUCGUCCGCCUCCGGGGGAGCGAUCGGUCGGGAUCAGGAUCCCGUCGAGCUGUUCGGUUUUACUUUCCGCGUCUGGUUUCGGGUGAUCCUCCGUUGGCCAUAGCAAGGUCAGUUUCCUCUCUGCGUUCGUCGGUGAUUUCAGAUUCGAAUCGAAUUGAAUUGAGCGUCUAUCGCCCGUACGGCCUUCUGCCUCUGUGUUCCCCGAUCAAGCGCUCUCGUCACCAGUUAAUACGAUUACGAGGUGGAUUCCAGGGCCUCGUGGAUUCUUGUUGUGCCGCUGAUCUAGCUUUCGGUGUAUGCGCUCUCAUCCUAGAUGCAACCAAGUGGGCGAGCGCUAGUUGUGGGGAGAUGAUAUUGGAUAUAGAUCAAGGGUGGAGGUUUGAUUUUUUGUUGGUGGUUAUUUUGAUUGAUCGGUUAUUACAGUCCGACGGUUGGCCAAAUCUUCUGGGAUGGUCAAGCUUUUGACCUCUUAUUACCGACCUAGGCUGCAAAGGAAUGCACGAUCUGCGCCUAUUACAUUACAAUUCUGAUUUGGAUAUUUUCAGAAACUGGGAUUCAUCUUCUGGCACGCCUGCGUUUGGAUGAUGGCACUCUCUGUUUAAUUUCUUCUUCUCCACAAUUCAAUUAGCCCCCCAACAACUCUGAUUUUGAUUUGUUGCUGGCUCCCCACAUGUCCUCUUUUGGCUCGGCAUGGCGUUCAUGGGGCUUAACUUUCUGGACCUUUCUUAUUGAAACAAUUAUGGCUCAGCAGACAUUAGUUUCCCGUGCCUUACACUCAGGUCUCAGCUCUUGCAGAUAGUGUCUUGCAAUGGAUAUAAUUGGAACUUGUGGUGUCUACCUGACCAUCCCAGUCGAGACAGGCUUACUUUAAACAUUUAUACAAAGGUAUCUUGCUCGAUGCAGGUCGUAGCUCACCAACACAAGGCCACCAACCUGAUGCUAAGUUUGCAGUUCUUCUAUCUACUCCUUAGAUAAUACAUACUAAGAUUUCUUACUAGGCAAUAUUUCAAAUUCAGAUUUAGCUGCAAAGGUGCAAGAAUGAAGCUUCAAACAUAUCCUACAACCGUAAAAAACUUAAAUCUCUUAUCCUCUUAUUUUUAUUUAUUAAUUCAGCUACAUGUUCAUGUCUUUGAUUUAGGUUUUUUGCUUCUGCCCUCCAUGUCCUUGCAGAUUUGUUUUGGCCUAAGACAAUGCUGCUAGUGAGCCUGAAUAUGUUAAAUUGUCUGGUUUGCCAUUUACUAUCUCUUUGUGGUUUUAUUAAUUAUUGGUUAUCUGUAACUCUUGAUCCCUGCGUUAGUCUUCCUGCCCAUUGCUAUCUGAUAUAUUUAUAGGAAGUCUGGCCCUACAUGCAGACCUGUUAUUCGUGUGUUGGCUUCCAUGGGUUGGCUGCAGGACUGGAUCUAGUAUGUGGAGACCCCUGGGGUGUUGUAUGUCAAGGGGAUUUGAGUCAGAUGCAGCAGAAGCAAGAGGGUAGUGGUUCCGCAGAGAUGUGGAGGUUUGGUUUCUUACACAUGGUUAGAUCUUUCUGGAGGACGAUGUUUUGGUGUUCAAAAUCCAACUUGUGAUCCGUGUUUGGAUGAUUGCAAAUUCUGGAUCACUCUGACUUUUAACUUACUCAUUCAUUUGCGAAGUACAAUAAUUUACUCUCCAGAGGUUCUGACUUGGACUAUUAUUAUUGGUGGAUCUACAGAAAUUUGGAUUUGGCUUAGCGGCAGGGGUGACAUGUCUUCUUGCUGAUCUGCUUUGGAUGAAUCAUUACUUCCUCCAUUUCAUUUAUUUCUCUCCAUAGCUCACCUUCAGUCUACGACAAUCCUGAUUUGCAUUUGUUGGUGGUUCUUCAGAAAUUGAGGUUAUACGGCUUAGCGGGAGCAUCUAUCGUCUUGGUGAUCUGCAGUGGAUGAUCAUUACCUAAUCAUUUUAAUUUCUUCUUCUCCAGAGUUCAAUUAGUCUCCCAACAAUUCUGACUGUGAUCUGUUGAUGGUUGUCCAGAAUUGGAAUUACACGGUCUAGCGGGCGGUCCUAUAUUUUGCCUCAGCGUGGCAGUUCCUUCUUUCUCAACCUUCCUUAUUGAACUCGCAUGACAUUAGGUUUUAUCUGCCUUAGUCGGUAAUUCUCAGCUCUUGCAGAUACUGACAUAGAAAGGUACUGCAGUUUGGAACUGGUGGUGUUGUCGUCCGUCAACCAUAGCUGAACUUCCUAUCCAAGACAGGCUUACUUGUUCCCGCCUAUCGUUUGGUCCAUGCUUUAGCUAUUUAUAAGCAACAUUUUCCCCUAACUGAAAUUUUAUAGAAAGGUCUCUUUCUUGUUGCAGGUUGUAGUUGACGAAACUCGAGCCCAACUUGAUGGUUUGCAGAUCUUUUAAAUCUACUAGUAUACCUUCAAAUCAUUGCAACUUACAUAACCUACAAAUUAUCUUACUAGGCAAUAUUUUAUAAUACAGAUUCAUAUGCAAAGGUGCAUGAAUCUAAGGAUAAUCCGAAGCUUUCGACUAAUGGCGCAUCCUACAACCGAGAAAGACUCUUGCCUAGGUUUUUGCUCCUGCCCUUCCUGUGGAUGCAGAUCUUUUUUAGCCCAGAGCAUGUGGGUAAUGACGCGGAGUCUGUUCUAAUAUUUUGGUUUGUGAUCUAGCUCUCCGUUGUUUGAUUUGUUACCUUUAACUCUUGAUCCCUGUGUUCUAUUGGUCUUCUGCAAGUGUGGGUUGCAGGAUAUGAUAGUUAGGAGUUCGUGCCCAAACCUUUGCUCUGUACAUGGAGUCAGGUCAGUGUCAUGUAGAUGGUCUGUUUGUUCCAUUUGUUAGCGCCACCUCCGUGAGUUGGCUUGCAGGAUUGGAUCCGGUCUGGACAUGUAGCUCCCUAUGAUGUAUAACAGUAUGGUGAAGGGGAUUUGAGGCAGGUCAGCCCAUGUUUGAUCACAUUGGUUUACUGGAUCCCUCAUCUGUGCUCGGUGACGAAAGAUAUUAGUGGCUAUACCUUGAGUUCUUCGAUUUGUCUUUGUCUGAUUGCUCAUCAUUAUGGCUGUCCCUCAAUUUGCCGUGAACUGGUUCUUGUUGUGACAGCUGAUCUCGCUUGUGGUAUGUGUUUGUGCUCCUUGAGAUGCAGGAUGUUGUUGAGUGAUGAAUCAAAGGAUUGAGGUUUGCUUUACUGUUCAUGGUUAUUUUGAUUGGUUAUGACUCAAUGGAUGGUUAUAAGCUAUUAUCUUGUGUGCUGAAGUUUUCGUUUUGGAUUGAAGCUGGAUUGGAUUAACCAUGGGAUGGGGAUCAGAGAAUUUGUGAACAGUGUUUGGAUAAUCGAUCCUCCUCUAUUUAGUUUCUUUGUUUGCACUUACAACAUAUCUGAUAUGGAUUCUCCAGCUAUUUGGCUUAUAUGGGGACUUUCCGGAAGGUGCCCUGUUUUGUUUCACCAUGUUACUGGCGGUUUCUUCUGUUGGCUUCAAUCUUUCCUGAUUUGCGUUGAAUAUUGAACUUCCUAUGGCUUUCUCUGCCCUUGGUAACUACGUGUCCUUCCAGAUAUUGACAUGGAUGAGAGAUAAUAUAGUUUGCUAUCUGCAACUGGUGUUGUUGACUAACUGAUCUCUCCCAGCCAAGCAGGCUUAUCCUAUCCCCUCACUGUUUUGAUGCAUUAUUUAGCUGUUUAUAAGUACCUUCGUCUCCCCAAAGCAAAAAUUCAUGAGAAGGUCUCUUGGUCGUUGCAGGUCCUAAUUGACUAUUUAGGUCCAACCUGAUGCGGAGUUAUCUGUUUGAAGUCUUCUAAACCCUACACCUUUCCAAUUCAUUGCAAUUUGUUCAACAUAUAAAUUAUCUUAUGGAGACAAUUUGAACAUUCAGAUUGAUUUGUUGGAUAGAUUCGAUGGUUUCUCUGGGGCUUCAGUCUAGAUGGGACAUCCUACAACCGAAAAUACCUGGUGAACUCCACAACCGAAAAUUAUCUUAUGCUGAGUUAUCUCCUGAAGAAACUACUGUUGUCUUGGCUGCCUUUGCUUGUAGCAUUGAUCAAGCCAUGCUGGUAGCCAUUCAAAAUAUGUUACCUUUUUGGUUUCUGGUCCUCUCUGUGGUUUACUUUGUUAUAUCUGUACUACCCAUCCAUGUGUUUCUGUUGGUCUGUUGGCCUGGCUUGUUCUUUGCACAGUAUAUCUUGGAAUUGGUGGGUGUGCCCUGUAGAGUCAGGUCAGUGUCUGGUCUGCUCUCAAUACAAAAAUUAGCUUUGUUCCCUCUUCUCCAAUCUCCAAUGGCUAAUCAACGAUUCUGUCUGCCACGUAAUACAAGGUGAAUUUUAUCUUGUUUAUGGUAUGCUCAUUUGUUCCUUUAGAUACAAGACAGCGGAGAUCGUAUUGAAGGGUAAAGGUUUGGGUGAUUCAUGGAUGUUCUUUAGCUCUUCUGAUUAUAUCUUAAGUUUGGGAUUGGAAUUUUUGGUCAUGCCUGCAUGGUUGAGGAUUCAUAAGUGUCUUGAGGCGUGACUGGACUGUUUAGAUAUAUUCUCCUCUGAUUUCUCCAUGUGAGCAGUUUGGUUUCUGUUCUGAGUAUUAUUUGGAUUUUUUGUUGUUCUCCAGCAUUUGAGCGUAGACUUGCCCAUUUUUAUUGGAAUGGUGCAGAGCUCUAGGAGAUUCUUCGUGAUUCGAUCUUGUCAAACUUCUCUCUGUUAACUUUUAACAUUCCAAACAUUGUUCUUUCUUGUCAGUAACUCUUAGUUCUAUGCAGAUAUGACAUACAAUGAGGAUAAUCAAACCAAUGUGCAUAACUUCACUAAACCAGGCUUAUCCCCAUCUCCCUUGCUAUAUUUGAUGUGAACAGCUUUCUCCAAAAUGGUUAGGCAUCAUGGUCUUUUGUUCAUUGCAGGUGUACUUCACAAUCUUACAGAAGAAGUCUGAUGUCAUGCUGCGUGAAAAUUUGUUUGGAGACCUUCUGACUUCACAUUUUCUAUUUAGUUAGCUAGAAACCCAAUUAGCUGUUAAGUUUGGUAUUCAAACUGAUCCGCGGAGGUGAAGAGUUCUAAAAGCUUGUUUGGGAACUUCGUUCUGGAUAGAGGAGUCUUCUACAACCACAAACUUAUACCUAUGCUGCAUCCUUGUUUCGACUCAUUGUCCAGUUCUAAUUAUGGUCUAACUUUCCUUGAAGAAACUUCUAAGUAUGCCAAUUAUAUUUGGUCUGUUCAUUAAUCGGCACUGUUGGAGGUUUUAUUGGAAUAUUGUAGAGUUGGAAAGUCUAGCAAAACGUCAGUUGGUGUGGGGACUUAGUGAAGCCCGGGCGGUUUUAACUUCUGAUUAAUCCUGAUCCUGAAGCAUAUUACUUGAUUUGGUAUUUGUGCAGCUUUCAGUUUGAACUUGCAUUCAGUGAUAGUUUGGAGUUAGUAGUGUGCACAUCUGAUUCUGCCAACUGUCCUGAAGCAUCUUAUCAUGACAUCCUACUGAUUACAACAUCUGCUUCAGCUUGCAUGUGGUUUGGAAUAUGAUCUCAGCUUUUUCUCCGAAUCAACAAAAUGCUAGAAGUAAUGAUGUCCUAACUGGAAGUUCCUUUAGUCUCAAACAAGGGUUCAACAAUGGAAAUACCAGUUCAUAGCAGAUUAUCAAACUUUGAUUUGGCUAUAGAUUACUACUUGGUUGACAUACUAUUUCCAGAAGUUGGGUUUUAAUAUUAGGCUGGUUGUAUCUAUAAUUUUAUCUCUAGCAGUAAUAUUUUUAGCUUGCAAAUUUAUAUCACCUAAUACAUGUACAUGAGCUCUGAAUGCAGUAAAAGAUUUGUCAGUCUACUA